CCAACAGGGAUUGCCCCAGUAACGGCGAGUGAAGCGGCAGCAGCUCAAAUUUGAAAUCUGGGGUCCUCGACCUCCGAGUUGUAAUUUGGAGAGGCAUCUUCGGGGGGGAGCGCCGGCCCAUGUUUCCUUGGGACAGGACGUCACAGAGGGUGAGAAUCCCGUGCCUGGCCGGCUGCCUCCUCCCGCGUGGAGGGCCUUCGACGAGUCGAGUUGUUUGGGAAUGCAGCUCCAAGUGGGUGGUAAAUUUCAUCUAAAGCUAAAUACCGGCGGGAGACCGAUAGCGCACAAGUAGAGUGAUCGAAAGAUGAAAAGCACUUUGAAAAUAGAGUCAAAAAGUACGUGAAAUUGUUGAAAGGGAAGCGCUUGAGACCAGACUCAGGCCUGGGCAAACAUCGCGCCCCUCGGGGCCGUGCAAUUGCCUGGGCCUGGGCCAGCAUCAGUUGGCGUGGCGGGACAAAGGCGCGGGGAAUGUGGCUCCCCUCGGGGAGUGUUAUUAGGCCCGCGCUCAAUGCCGCCGACGUC
rnacentral:rRNA from 1 species